GCGUAGUGCUUGGCGCGGUGACCAGACCUGGCCGCCUUCCUGACUGCACAGAGCAAGAGGCCACACUCUGGAUCCCAGGCCGGGUCCCUGUGGUUCUGGGAGGGAGGUCCCGGAUGCCUCCCAGAUCUCGGGCUUCUGUAACCCUGAGGCUGGGUUUUAAAAUCACGGCUCUUCCAAGUUACACGAAGAGUCCAUGGUCAAGGGUCAAGGGUGGUCUUCGACCCUCGGGGUCGUCUUCUUGAGAAAUGGCUGAGAGCUAAGCCUAGAGCUGCCCAGGGAAGGAAGCCAAAGAGCUGGAGCCGAGCGCGAAGGGCUGGGAGGCGCGGGGAGGCCCCUUACCCCCGCCCGCCCCCCACACUGUCCUGGCCGCUAAUAACGCUGAUAAUAGUAACAGUAUCGGCCAACUGUUUCCCCCCUGCUCCUGGUCUGCCAGGCACCGGAUCCUCCUUUAGCACUCCCAGCACUCACUGAAGAAGACACUAUGGAAUUCUCCGUUUUCCAGACUAGAAAUAAGUAACUCGGAGAAAUUAAGAAACUCGCCCGACGACCCUCAGGCAGUAGCACCUGGCCAGCUGCAGGUGCUGUUGUAGGAGCAAGGGAUACAAUGAUGAUCAAGGCAGAUGCAGCCGUUACCUUCAGGUUGUGGAGUCCGGAUACAGACUGGAGGCAGGCAGCUGUAAGAUGUGUGAGAAAUGCUGCGCUGGAUCAGCCCAUGGUAUUAGGAGAGCAGGCUUCGGUAGAUUGCAAAUGACCUGCUUUCUUUCGGAUCCCGGGCUGCUUUCGGACACCUGUCGAAUAGUAAAUCCCAAGUAAGGUACCUGCGGUCGUCGGCAGAUCUGAAUUUUCUUCUUGGACACCUAAUACCCACAGUCCUCCAGAGACCGAGAGGUUGAUGUCACUCCCAAUAUCGGAGGAAGUAUACACCCCCGUGUGAGAUGGUCCUUAAUAAUAUUCCACGGCGGAGGGGGUGAUAUGACUACAUACAUGGCAGAAAGUGGAAACCUCCCAGGGAUAUUGUUCCCACGAUCCUGGAGGGAAGAAGAUGAUGUUACUUUCAAUAUGACAGAAGGUGGAUGAAGUGGUGGACUGCCCCUCCACACCUGUGGACACGCCCCCACUGAUAUUCCUUCUAAUUGCAGCGUGGGAGAGGAGGAUAUGACACGCGAUAUCGCAGGGAGUAGAAACACCCCUGUGAUACUGUUCUUAAUAUUCAGGGAGGAAGAGGAUGAUAUUACUCCCAAUACAGACGGGUGUACACCCUCUGUACACCGAGGGUGUACACCUGUCUGUGAAAGAGUUCGUAAUCUCCAGAGGGGGAGAUGAUAUUACUCACAAUAUGGUAAAGAGGCUGUGAGUCCACGGAGGAUCCUCAGAGCCAGCGGGGGAAGAGGGGCUGGCUCUCAGUCCCCGCCUCGCGGGGGUGACUCCCCCCAGUGCGAUGGGGGUCCUAAGAGCCAGUGGGGGAAGAGGGGCUGGCUCUGAGACCCCGCCUCGCGGGGGGUGCCUCCCCGCCCUGUGAUGGGGGUCCGAAGAGCCAGAAGGCUUAGAGGGGCUGGCUCUCAGUCCCCGCCUCGCGGGGGGUGCCUCCUCCCCCUGCGAUGGGGGUCGUAAGAGCCACUGGGGGAAUAGGGGCUUGCUCUCAGUCACCGCCUCGCGGGGGGUGCCUCCUUUCCUUUCUACAUAGACACAGUGACAGUCUGAUCUCUCUUUCUUUUCCCUACAGAUGGACACGCCCCCACUGAUAUUGUUUUUAAUGCAGCGUGGGAGGGGAGGAUAUGACACGCGAUAUCGCAGCUGAGUGCCACGUGCUGACGUCACUAAGAUCAAUACAGCAAACUCUGAAAGAUGGACAGAGAGACAGGAGAUGGUCCUUUAUAAUGCAGUGUGAUCUGUGCUGCAAUAGAGUUUUGGAAGCUAGAAGUUCAAAACGAGGUGUUGGCAGCACCAUGCUCUCUCUGAAGAUGCUAGGAAGAAUCUGCUCCAUGCCUUUCCAUUCGCUUCUGGGGUUUCCUGCAAGCCCUGACAUUCCUUGGCUUGUAGAUGCAUCACCCCAGUUUCCGCCCCCAUCAUCACAUGGCCUCCUCUCUGUGUGUGCCUCUGCGUUCCCUCUAUUCUUCUUCUAAGGACACCGACACCAGUCAUAGUGGAUUAAGUGUCCACUCCUAACCAAUUACAUCUGCAACAACCCUAUUUCCAAAUAAAGUCACAUUCUAAGAUUCCUAGGGAGAACAUG
rnacentral:lncRNA from 1 species